rnacentral:rRNA from 1 species
GACGAACGCUGGCGGCGUGCUUAACACAUGCAAGUCGAGCGGUAAGGCCCUUUCGGGGGUACACGAGCGGCGAACGGGUGAGUAACACGUGGGUGACCUGCCCUCAGCUCUGGGAUAAGCCUGGGAAACUGGGUCUAAUACUGGAUAUGACUCCACGGUGCAUGUCGUGGGGUGGAAAGCCUUGUGCGGCUGAGGAUGGGCCCGCGGCCUACCAGCUUGUUGGUGGGGUGAUGGCCUACCAAGGCGACGACGGGUAGCCGGCCUGAGAGGGCGACCGGCCACACUGGGACUGAGACACGGCCCAGACUCCUACGGGAGGCAGCAGUGGGGAAUCUUGCGCAAUGGGCGAAAGCCUGACGCAGCGACGCCGCGUGAGGGAUGACGGCCU